GACUUUGUGGAGUAGUCGGUUUUUCUCUGGUCUUGUACGCCCAAGGUUGUAGGUUCAAUCCCGGCCGAAGUCA